UACGUAGGGGGCGAGCGUUGUCCGAAGUUACUGGGCGUAAAGCGCGCGUAGGCGGCUUUUUAAGUCUGGGGUGAAAGGUUCAACGCUUAACGUGAACAGUGCCUUGGAUACUGGGAAGCUUGAAUGUGGCAGAGGAUAGUGGAAUGGCUGGUGUAGCGGUGAAAUGCGUAGAUAUCAGUCGGAACACCCAUGGCGAAGGCAGCUAUCUGGGCUAACAUUGACGCUGAGGUGCGAAAGCGUGGGGAGCGAACGGG
rnacentral:rRNA from 1 species